CACCUGAUUCCAUUCCGAACUCAGAAGUGAAACGAAAUAGCGUCGAUGGUAGUGUGGGGUUUCCCCAUGUGAGAGUAGAACAUCGCCAGGC
rnacentral:rRNA from 1 species